GCCCAACUGACUGAGACCCCCAGGCACCAAGACAACUUCAUCUUUAACUUCACCUGCUACUACGUACUCUGGAAGCCUGCAUCACAACAGGCCUCAGAUUUCAGCAAUGGCCACAAGACACCACUGGCAGCUCACCAGUAAGAAAGAUCACCUGUCCAGAUGUGGACCUCAGCCGUGGUGUUUCUUGUCAACUGCCAGCUCACCUGCCCCCAACACCGGACAUACGGGUCUCCAUGUCUGCCAGUGACCUGUCGAGGGGUCCGCAGAUUUUCUGUGUGCACUUCCUGU